rnacentral:pre_miRNA from 1 species
AUUUUCUCAAUUUUUAACCAGUUCUCCCGCCCUUUAAAUAGAUGCCUUAAAGGGAGGGAGAACUGGUUAAAAAUGGACUUUGA